UUCAUUCAUUGUAAGUACUAUUUUGAGAAAGUUUGUCUGUAUUUGCUCCAAAAAGAUUUAAAAAAAAAAAUGUAUUUGCAAUGAAAACCCAAAAAAUUAGGAAUUUGCCUAAUGAGGGUGGAUCUGCUGCGAAUCGCAACCGGAACCGCGGAGGAAAUUAGAAUCGUCACAAUUUUCAGGGACCGAAUCAAAAUAAUCCAAAUCUCAAUCAAAACGGCCUUUAAGUUCUAUACGUGAUUGGCUUGGUAAUUGUGACUUUUAUCAACAAACUAGCUGUACCCUGCCAUGCUUCUCUAUGCCGUAUUGUGGUUGGACGAUCAAGAAAUGAAGAACACGACAGAUACGCUUUUUUGUGUGCCUUGGUACAUUCAUCCCAAACAAUGAGUUUAUAUGCUCGCAGUUAUUUUCCCAUACCUGAUGUUGAAGUACAUUUGAAGAAAUUUCACUGACUGGGAACGGGAGCAGGGCGCCAGCUUUGUGAUAUGAUUUUGAAAGUUGGCAUGAAUUCGUCAGUUACAAUUUACGAACCAAAAGAUGUCAUUUCAAGCAGAGUUCGCAGUGGCUCUGGUGGUGUUCCAAGUUGACGUAAUUUGAUUUUCCCGGCAGAACAACACAUUUCUUUCAUUUCAUUAAACUUCAGAGCCUGGCAGCAA
rnacentral:sRNA from 1 species